AUGGUUGGACUGAAUAGGAGUGAAAGUUUUGUUUAUCUACUAGAAAGAAUUAUAGAAAGGUUUAAGGGUUGGAAAGAGAAGCUACUAUCAAUGGGCGCAAAAGAAAUUCUGUUAAAAGCAAUGAUACAAUCAAUCCCUGUUUUCACAAUGGCAGUUUUCAAGAUUCCAGAGAAAUUAUGUAAAGAGAUGAAUGAUGCAAUGUAAGCAUUCUGGUGGGGACACUCUGAGGACCAAAGGAAGAUGCAUUGGUUUUCAUGGUGGAGAAUGUGUAUCCCAAAAAAUUUGGGGGGCACGGGCUUCCGUGAUCUCUAUUCUUUCAACAUGACCAUGUUGUCUAAACAGACAUGGAGACUGUUGAAUAAUCCCGAUUCUCUCUGUGCGCAGGCCCUGAUGAAAAUGUUCUAA
rnacentral:rRNA from 1 species